GUGCUCUCUUUGGCAGCACAUAUACUAAAAUUGGAACAAUACAGAGAAGAUUUGCCUGGCCCCUGCACAAGGGUGACAUGCAAAUCCGUGUAGCAUUCCAUAUUUUU